GAUGAACGCUGGCGGCGUGCCUAAUACAUGCAAGUCGAGCGAACAGACUAGGGCCUUGCUCCUCUGCCGUUAGCGGCGGACGGGUGAGUAACACGUUGAUAACCGAUCUAUAAGACUGGGAUAACUUCGUGAAACCGGUGCUAAUACCGGAUAAUAUAUUUAACCACAUGAUUCAAUAGUGAAAGACGGUUUUGCUGUUACUUUUAGAUGCUUCCGCGCCGCAUUUGCUAGUUGGUAAGGUAACGGCUUACCAAGGCAACGAUGCGUAGCCGACCUGAGAGGGUGAUCGGCCACACUGGAACUGAGAAACGGUCCAGACUCCUACGGGAGGCAGCAGUAGGGAAUCUUCCGCGAUGGGCGAAAGCGUGACGGAGCAACGCCGCGUGAGUGAUGAAGGUCUUAGGAUGGUAAAACUCUGUUAUUAGGGAAGAACAAAAGUGUAAGUAACUAUGAACGUAUUGACGGUACCUAAACAGAAAGCCACGGCUAACUACGUG
rnacentral:rRNA from 1 species